GGCUCAGGACGAACGCUGGCGGCGUGCUUAACACAUGCAAGUCGAACGGUAAGGCCCCUUCGGGGGUACACGAGUGGCGAACGGGUGAGUAACACGUGGGUAAUCUGCCCUGCACUUCGGGAUAAGCCUGGGAAACCGGGUCUAAUACCGGAUAUGAACUCCUGCCGCAUGGUGGGGGUUGGAAAGUUUUUCGGUGCAGGAUGAGCCCGCGGCCUAUCAGCUUGUUGGUGGGGUAAUGGCCUACCAAGGCGACGACGGGUAGCCGGCCUGAGAGGGUGAUCGGCCACACUGGGACUGAGACACGGCCCAGACUCCUACGGGAGGCAGCAGUGGGGAAUAUUGCACAAUGGGCGGAAGCCUGAUGCAGCGACGCCGCGUGGGGGAUGACGGUCUUCGGAUUGUAAACUCCUUUUCAGUAGGGACGAAGCGUGAGUGACGGUACCUGGCAGAAGAAGCACCGGCUAACUACGUGCCAGCAGCCGCGGUAAUACGUAGGGUGCGAGCGUUGUCCGGAAUUACUGGGCGUAAAGAGCUCGUAGGCGGUUUGUCGCGUCGUCUGUGAAAUCCCUCGGCUUAACCGGGGGCGUGCAGGCGAUACGGGCAGACUUGAGUACUACAGGGGAGACUGGAAUUCCUGGUGUAGCGGUGAAAUGCGCAGAUAUCAGGAGGAACACCGGUGGCGAAGGCGGGUCUCUGGGUAGUAACUGACGCUGAGGAGCGAAAGCAGGGGGAGCGAAACAGGAUUAGAUACCCCUGGGUAGUCCAUGCCCGUAAAACGGUGGGCGCUAGGGUGUGGGGGUCCUUUCCACGGGACUCCCGUGCCCGUAGCUAACGCAUUUAAAGCGCCCCCGCCUGGGGGAAUACCGGCCGCAAGGGCUAAAAACUCAAAAGGAAAUUGACGGGGG
rnacentral:rRNA from 1 species